CCUACGGGUGGCAGCAGUCGAGAAUCAUUCACAAUGGGGGAAACCCUGAUGGUGCGACGCCGCGUGGGGGAAUGAAGGUCUUCGGAUUGUAAACCCCUGUCAUGUGGGAGCAAAUUAAAAAGAUAGUACCACAAGAGGAAGAGACGGCUAACUCUGUGCCAGCAGCCGCGGUAAUACAGAGGUCUCAAGCGUUGUUCGGAAUCACUGGGCGUAAAGCGUGCGUAGGCUGUUUCGUAAGUCGUGUGUGAAAGGCGCGGGCUCAACCCGCGGACGGCACAUGAUACUGCGAGACUAGAGUAAUGGAGGGGGAACCGGAAUGCUCGGUGUAGCAGUGAAAUGCGUAGAUAUCGAGAGGAACACUCGUGGCGAAGGCGGGUUCCUGGACAUUAACUGACGCUGAGGCACGAAGGCCAGGGGAGCGAAAAGGAUUAGAUACCCGGGUAGUC
rnacentral:rRNA from 1 species